AUGGCAUGGGGAGAGGAAUUGCAGGGCCCAAGACCAGGGAGUUGGCAGAUUGUUGCUGUUUGUCCUGAUGGCCCCUUGAAUCUGAAGCAAUCCACAUGCCAAUGCAUUCAUGUUUGGCUUCUGACAUACCAGAUUGAGGUGCAGCAAUUGAAUGGUAGAUGCAAGUAUGAGGGCAAUGCUCCUGGCGGCCUUGCCUCUUUGCCCCGUAUGCCUGUCUCUCUUCCUCAUGCUUGCAUGCAUUUCCUUGCCUCAAGCCAGAUUGAGUGGCCCAGGAUGGAAGACCAUUGGCAUCGGAGACCCAUCACAUAUUCCAUGACUCCCAGCCUGGAAAGUCAAGGUCUACGAGCCGCCACGGGCCACUGGACACGCGGCCCUUGGUGGUACAGGUGGAACACCAAUGGCUGUGCAUUUGGAGCGAAGGACAACAGUGGCAGAUUUAUGGACCAUCCAACAGUUUUCCUCUCCCAUAAUCAGUUCCUCUGUGGCGGAAUUCCAGAUCCACAAGUGACUGGAAGUGAUGUUAGAGAGAAGGGAUAUUUUGCUGCUUGGAAUUCCACUGCCACCCCCAAAGAAGUGCUGUUUUCGUCACUUGUAUGA
rnacentral:lncRNA from 1 species